ACAGAAACUUUCGAACAGUUAGAACAGUAACAUUACGCCAUCUUCAAAAUAACAGUUGAACAGUGUCUCGUAGAUCAGUGUAGUGCAUGUCAUUUUUAAUAGUGAAAAAGUGUCCCAAAUCCGUUCACCCAAACCAAAUGAAUAGUAUUGAAUACAAGAAGCCCCCCCUUAAACAUAACGGCAAUAAGCUUAAAAAC